rnacentral:lncRNA from 1 species
AGUGCAGCAGCUGUAGAUACAGAAACAAAGGAAAAAAGCUGCUUACCUUCAGAAGGCCUCAGGUAGGCAGGGAUCUCCAGUGAGAUACCCUCACCUCCUAUACCAACCCUUAAAUGAGGUCUGGGAAGGGGUGCAUCCUGGCUCCACCCCUUUCAGUCACUCAGGUACAUUGCAUGCACCUGAGCUCCCCUGGGUUAGCCCUGCCUUCCACCAGGUGCUCAAUCAAUGCUUCAGGCCAUGACUUAGCAUUUCUGCUACACAGGGCAUUAACCCUAAUAAUCAUUUGAGGACUGAAUCACCACUCCCACCUGCAGGGUAGCACUCAAUACCUUGUUUAUUGCAAGCGAUCAGCAGUGCGGGUGCAUUUUUGAGAACAGUGCUGUCAACCAGGACCUGGUACAGGAACUCAGCCACAUCCUUCACCUCCCGCUGGAAGGCUACACUGUCCACCACAAACACAAUGGCCCUGGCUGCAGCCUUGAACCUCUCCAAAAACUGAAGCCGUAAGCUUUCGUGGCCUGGGAGGUCGAUUAAAGUCACAUUAGUGCCCUUGUCGUUGCUCACUCUGUAAACGGCAGAGCUGUCGGUUAUGGAGGUCUGCGUAUCUCGGUAUCUGCCCGUCAACAGCCGGGCGAACAGCAGCGUCUUCCCCGCGUCGCAGAGGCCCAGCAGCAGCACGGCCCUGCGGGUGCUCCUUGCGCCCUGCGCGAGCCUCCAGAGCAGGAACGUGAGGGCGACGACGAGCAACGCCAGAAGGACAGAGAGAGAGGCAGGGCCAGGCGACUGCAGCUCCCGCCGGAGCGAGUCCAGAUACGGCUCCACGGCGCCCGCCAUCACUGCCCGCACGCACACGUCUGCUUCCGGC